UGUGCACAGUGCACCGAGGGGUCAUCCGCAC
rnacentral:piRNA from 1 species